rnacentral:rRNA from 1 species
UAGUCCACGCCCUAAACGAUGCUAACUCGAUAUUUGGAUCUUGAAUCUGAGUGUCUAAGCGAAAGCGAUAAGUUAGCCACCUGGGGAGUACGUUCGCAAGAAUGAAACUCAAAGGAAUUGACGGGGGUCCGCACAAGUGGUGGAGCAUGUGGUUUAAUUCGAUGAUACGCGAGGAACCUUACCUAGGCUAUAAUGUGAGCGCUAUUUGGUGAAAGCCGAAGUUCCUUCGGGACGCGAAACAAGGUGCUGCAUGGUUGUCGUCAGCUCGUGCCGUGAGGUGUUGGGUUAAGUCCCGCAACGAGCGCAACCCCUAUUGUUAGUUGCCAGCACGUAAAGGUGGGGACUCUAACGAGACUGCCCGCGUAAGCGGAGAGGAAGGUGGGGACGACGGUCAAAUCAUCAUGGCCUUUAUGCCUAGGGGCUACACACGUGCUACAAUGGUAGAUACAGAGGGUCGCUAAGCCGCGAGGUGGA